rnacentral:rRNA from 1 species
CGGGGUGAGUAAUGCUUGGGAAUCUGGCUUAUGGAGGGGGAUAACUACGGGAAACUGUAGCUAAUACCGCGUAGAAUCGGGAGAUGAAAGUGUGGGACCUUCGGGCCACAUGCCAUAGGAUGAGCCCAAGUGGGAUUAGGUAGUUGGUGAGGUAAAGGCUCACCAAGCCGACGAUCUCUAGCUGGUCUGAGAGGAUGACCAGCCACACUGGGACUGAGACACGGCCCAG